UGCUUAGCUCUUGUAUCUCUGCAGAACCUGGUUGUGCCACAUCUCCUGCUGUGGGUCAGCACCUACCAGGGAUGGCAGCAAUUACAGCUGAUGAGUUUCAGGUGUUUGCUCUUUCCUUGCUCACUGGCAGGGCUGCCCAACACUGCCCUGCAGCGUAUGCUGGGCAGACACCAAACCUCUUUGCUUGUCUGGAGCUGGGAGCUGCUUUCUAACAGAGCAGGUGUUGGUUACCAUCCUGGAGGUGACACUUGGAGCUCUUGCCCUGCUAUGAAUACCCAUUUCUGCAGCAUUUAUCUAUUGGGCUGAAUGAAGGGAGCAUCUGGAAUGGGGUUUUUUUGGCCUUUCUUUCCGAAGCUUUAUAGCAAAUUGUGCAAACACAUGCAGGAAUCGUUACAAAACCUUUGUGUGUCCAAAGAAUUAGCAGAUGUUAUCCCUCUACUCUUUUAGGGAGCAGGGAUGAGCCUGUUUGCUCCUGGGGCUGGAACUGAACUAAGGAGAGCAGAAUGACUCGGAUUGAUGAGCAUGGAGCAGAAGAUGACCUUCAAUGUGCAGAGCACAGCUUUCUUUUGGAUGCGGUCAUCUCAGGCUGGAGUCGAUGGGUGUUUCACUGUACAUUUACAUCACAGCUGAUGCGCUCUGCGUGUACCUCCACGUCACAUCCAUCUGGUUUUGCCUCUUCAUGUUGUUGGUGUCAAAAACUAACAAAGCUUUGUGAAUUCACAAAUACGGCGCCCAAGCACAAAUGGAAAUGGUCGUACAUAGCAGUCCCCUGGAAAGGCAAUGAAGGUACAGCUUUGCGGUGUGUGUUUGCAUUGUUUGCCUUGCAAAAAUGUUUUCAUUCAGUAGCAUCUUUAUUAUUCAGUGGAAAAGCUGCUGUGUGCCCACUGCCAGGGAUGUCUUGAGAGACUUAGACCAGCCAGAAAGGCAAGACAGGAUAAACUUGGCUUUGCUAAAGAUCACGUUUCUGAGGACAUAAGGGCAGAAAUGGCUGCACUGGUUGUCUUGGCAGAAUUAGGAAAGAAAAUUGGAACAGAAUUCAGAA
rnacentral:lncRNA from 1 species